rnacentral:sRNA from 2 species
AGAAGAAAUAAAGAUGAAGAUGGUAAGCGGAUGUUUGGCACCUAUUUUCGUGUUGGUUUUUAUGGAACCAAGUUCGGGGAUUUGGAUGAACAAGAAUUUG